GGGGGCUCAGUGGUAGAGUGCUUGCUUUGCAUGCAUGAGGUCCUGGGUUCGAUUCCUCAGCACCA
rnacentral:tRNA from 1 species